rnacentral:lncRNA from 1 species
GAGUGGCCAAGGCACCAAGUGGCACAACCGCAUAAGCCCUAGAGCAUCUGGAGGAGGAAAUCGAGGAAGGAUGAAACCACCAAAGGGAGGGUGGAAGCACCAUAAGAGGUGGAAGCAUCCACCGAUAGCCACUGAAGAGUGGAGCUGUGGAGGACUGAAGGAGGAAACCCUAGAGCAUCAAGAGUUGAGAAUGAGAUGGG